AUUGAACGCUGGCGGCAGGCCUAACACAUGCAAGUCGAGCGGCAGCGGGAGAAAGCUUGCUUUCUUGCCGGCGAGCGGCGGACGGGUGAGUAAGGUAUGGGGAUCUGGCCGAAGGCGGGGGAUAACCACUGGAAACGGUGGCUAAUACCGCAUAAUCUCUAAGGCGCAAAGUGGGGGACCUUCUGGCCUCACACCUACGGAUGCACCCAUAUGAGAUUAGCUAGUAGGUGGGGUAAAGGCUCACCUAGGCGACGAUCUCUAGCUGGUCUGAGAGGAUGAUCAGCCACACUGGGACUGAGACACGGCCCAGACUCCUACGGGAGGCAGCAGUGGGGAAUAUUGCACAAUGGGCGCAAGCCUGAUGCAGCCAUGCCGCGUGUAUGAAGAAGGCCUCCGGGUUGUAAAGUACUUUCAGUCGUGAGGAAGGUGUUAAGGUUAAUAGUCUUAGCAAUUGACGUUAGCGACAGAAGAAGCACCGGCUAACUUCGUGCCAGCAGCCGCCGUAA
rnacentral:rRNA from 1 species